AUAACUAAGCGGAGGAAAAGAAACCAACCGGGAUUCCCUCGGUAACGGCGAGUGACGUGGGAAGAGCCCAGCGCCGAAUCCGCCGGGCGAGAGCUCGGCCGGAACUGUGGCGUGCGGGACGCGGCCAGUCGAUCGGGCGAGCGCCCGAGUCCCCCCGAGCGGGGCCCAUCCCGGAGCGGGUGCCAGGCCUCUGCCGGCGUCCGCCCGGUCGGCCGCCGUCGUCCCCCGAGUCGGGUUGCUUGGGAAUGCAGCCCGAAGCGGGUGGUAAACUCCACCUAAGGCUAAAUACCGGCGCGAGUCCGAUAGCGGACAAGAC
rnacentral:rRNA from 1 species